rnacentral:rRNA from 1 species
AACGAACGCUGGCGGCAGGCCUAACACAUGCAAGUCGAGCGAAGCCUUCGGGCUUAGCGGCGGACGGGUGAGUAACGUGUGGGAACGUGCCCUUUGCUACGGAAUAGCCCCGGGAAACUGGGAGUAAUACCGUAUGUGCCCUUCGGGGGAAAGAUUUAUCGGCAAAGGAUCGGCCCGCGUUGGAUUAGGUAGUUGGUGGGGUAAUGGCCUACCAAGCCGACGAUCCAUAGCUGGUUUGAGAGGAUGAUCAGCCACACUGGGACUGAGACACGGCCCAGACUCCUACGGGAGGCAGCAGUGGGGAAUCUUAGACAAUGGGGGAAACCCUGAUCUAGCCAUGCCGCGUGAUCGAUGAAGGCCUUAGGGAUGUAAAGAUCUUUCAGUGGGGAAGAUAAUGACUGUACCCACAGAAGAAGCCCCGGCUAACUCCGUGCCAGCCGCCGCGGUAACAC